GCGGAAGGCUGGAUGACCGCGGCGGGGCCUGCCCCUGUCGAGGAAAGUCCGGACUCCGGGAAGGAACGGUGCCGGGUAACGCCCGGGCGGGGUAACCCGACGGACAGCGCCACAGAAAACAGACCGCCCCGGGCGGUGCCGGUUUGCCGGCAACACACGGGGUAAGGGUGAAACGGUGGGGUAAGAGCCCACCGCGCCGCUGGCAACAGGGGCGGCACGGCAAGCCCCACCGGGAGCAAUGCCAAAUAGGGACCGCGUGCCCGGAAACGGGCGGGGCCACUUCCGCCCCAGCAGGUCCGGGUUGGCAGCUGUAGCCGUAUCGGCAACGAUGCGGUCAGAGGAAUGGUCAUCCAAGGGGGCAACCCCUGGACAGAAUCCGGCUUACAGGCCUUCCGCGCAU
rfam:Oceanibulbus sp. HI0023 HI0023_c41, whole genome shotgun sequence.